UACGAAGGGGGCUAGCGUUGUUCGGAAUUACUGGGCGUAAAGCGCGUGUAGGCGGGUCUUUAAGUCAGGGGUGAAACGCCAAGGCUCAACCUUGGAACUGCCUUUGAUACUGGAGAUCUUGAGUCCGGGAGAGGUGAGUGGAAUUGCGAGUGUAGAGGUGAAAUUCGUAGAUAUUCGCAAGAACACCAGUGGCGAAGGCGGCUCACUGGCCCGGAACUGACGCUGAGACGCGAAAGCGUGGGGAGCAAACAGG
rnacentral:rRNA from 1 species